rfam:Candidatus Woesebacteria bacterium RIFCSPHIGHO2_01_FTLL_37_10 rifcsphigho2_01_scaffold_25370, whole genome shotgun sequence.
UCUGGAAGAAGGAUGACUACUACGUUCAGUUUUUGAAUGUAGAGGAAAGUCCAGGCAGCAGAAGACAGGGUGGUUGACGUAAGUCAGCACGAACAAUUCUGUCAGAUAUAAAUUAUCUGAUGGGACCAAGCGCUAGUUAGAGCAACAGAAACUAUGUCGGUUCCGAAACCCUAAAAGUUUCGGGAAACGAGUGAAAAGCCCUGAAGAAGGGCUCCGUUGCGAAAGUAGAUGGAGGCUUUAAAACCUCCGAAACUUAGCGAAGGAGGGCAAUCCUCCCCGCUGCAACCCUCGAAUGGAGCGUUAAUAGGUUGUCUUCCCGAGCUCCGAAGUUAGGGGCGUAGAUUGAUUGUCAUUAGCCUUACCGAAUGCAAAUUCGGGAUAGGUGAAACAGAACCUGGCUUACUCGCUUCCAGAGCCC